GGCCGUGUAGCUCAGUUGGUUAGAGCGUGACACUGUUAGGACGCUCGUGCAGGACGAGAUCCCGCCAUGUCAAGGUCGUUGGUUCGAAUCCGCCCAUGGUCG
rfam:Pseudozyma flocculosa PF-1 unplaced genomic scaffold scaffold00013, whole genome shotgun sequence.